rnacentral:rRNA from 1 species
UACGAAGGGGGCUAGCGUUGCUCGGAAUGACUGGGCGUAAAGGGCGCGUAGGCGGCUUGUAUAGUCGGAUGUGAAAUUCCUGGGCUCAACCUGGGGACUGCGUUUGAUACGUGCGGGCUUGAGUUCGGAAGAGGGUCGUGGAAUUCCCAGUGUAGAGGUGAAAUUCGUAGAUAUUGGGAAGAACACCGGUGGCGAAGGCGGCGACCUGGUCCGAUGCUGACGCUGAGGCGCGAAAGCGUGGGAGCAACAGG